UUUCGCAAUGCCCGAAAGGGUGACGAAGCGACGCCGCGUGCGGGAAGAAGGCCUUCGGGUUGUAAACCGCUGUCGGGAGUUAAGAAAUGCAAGGGUGUUAACAGCAUCCUUGCUUGACUAAGGCUCCGGAGGAAGCCACGGCUAACUCUGUGCCAGCAGCCGCGGUAAUACAGAGGCGGCAAGCGUUGUUCGGAAUUAUUGGGCGUAAAGAGCACGUAGGCGGCUGUGUAAGUCGGUUGUGAAGGCCUUCCGCUCAACGGGAGAACGGCAUCCGAUACUGCAUGGCUUGAGUGCGGGAGGGGAGAGUGGAACUUCUGGUGGAGCGGUGAAAUGCGUAGAUAUCAGAAGGAACACCGGCGGCGAAGGCGACUCUCUGGCCCGUAACUGACGCUGAGUGUGCGAAAGCUAGGGGAGCAAACGGGAUUAGAUACCCCGGUAGUCCUAGCCGUAAGCGAUGGGCACUAAGUAGAGGGGUUUU
rnacentral:rRNA from 1 species